GACGGAGGAUGCAAGCGUUAUCCGGAAUGAUUGGGCGUAAAGGGUCCGCAGGUGGCAGUGUAAGUCUGCUGUCAAAGAAUGAGGCUUAACCUUAUCAAGGCAGUGGAAACUACACAGCUAGAGUACGGUCGGAGUAGAAGGAAUUCCUGGUGUAGCGGUGAAAUGCGUAGAGAUCAGGAAGAACACCGGUGGCGAAAGCGUUCUGCUAGACCUGUACUGACACUGAGGGACGAAAGCUAGGGGAGCGAAUGGG
rnacentral:rRNA from 1 species